UACAGAGGGGGCAAGCGUUGUUCGGAAUUACUGGGCGUAAAGGGCGCGUAGGCGGCCCGCUAAGUCGAACGUGAAAUCCCCGGGCUCAACCCGGGAACUGCGUCCGAUACUGGCAGGCUUGAAUCCGGGAGAGGGAUGUGGAAUUCCAGGUGUAGCGGUGAAAUGCGUAGAUAUCGGGAGGAACACCAGUGGCGAAAGCGGCUCUCUGGGCCGUUCCUGACGCUAAGACACGAAAGCGUGGGUAGCGAACGGG
rnacentral:rRNA from 1 species